ACCGACCUUGUGGUGGGGAGUGACUUGGGCAGUGAAGGAUAACUGAGCUCAAGAUUGCCAACACCAAUAUUUAAAGAUUUACGCGUCCGCGACUUACUUCGUCGGCGGGCGCAAUUUUUGGAGCC
rnacentral:ncRNA from 1 species